UCCCUGGUGGUCUAGUGGUUAAGACUCCUCACUCCCAAUGCAGGGGGCCCCAGGUUUGAUCCCUGGUUGGGGAA
rnacentral:tRNA from 1 species